rnacentral:lncRNA from 1 species
UUUGACUCAUUAUUUCGAUGUACACAUAUAUAUGAUUUACAACUGUGUACACGAUAGUUAUCAUUACUUCGAUGUACACAUAUAUAUCAUUUACAACUAUGUACAUGUGUACACAUAGAUAUCUUUACAAUAGUGUACACAUCGAUGUACACAUAUUUUUAGAUCAGAAAUGAAUAUAUUCAAAUUUCUAGGGACCAAAUGUGCAAUAAAGCUAAAACUGGCCAUUGUUGCCCAUCAAGCUUUUGCAACAAUGGCGACGAGAAAGAGGCGGCGACGAGUAGGAGGCAACAAGGAGACAGAGAAGAGAUGGAGGCAGAGGUUUCAGUCGACGGAGGCGGAAAGAGAAAGCCUGUUACAGGAGGCGGAGACUUUGGUUUUGAGUUGAAGAAAUCAUUCUAUGGAGGUUCCAAAUCCUUUUGCCUCUUCUCCGUAUUGAGUUUUUGGAUCUGUAGCUCUACAAAAAAAAAAGUAAAUUAGUGAUACAUAAAGUAAAAGAGAAAAAAUUAUGAUGGUGAAAAGUAAAAAUUUGCAAAAAAAAAUAUAGGUUACAUGUAAAAAAGGAAGAAGUCGAACAUAUUUUCCAAAAGAAAAAAGAAAACAUAGUGAUGAUCAGAUAGAGAGAAGAGAGAAAUAAUGCAAGUUGUAAGUGUGGGACCAUAUUAGUCACAUAAAUUAUUUUAGUUAGCAAUUAUUUGGUUUUAGUUUUAAAAAAGUACCUCAGUAGUUGAAACUGUCUUUUCUUAUAAUAAAAACAUCAAAACUGCCUUUGAGUGUUAAUAACUCUUAUAUUGAUGUAUACAUGACAACUAAACUUUAUAAUGACAACUACCCAAUUCCUGCAUUGAUGUUGGAUGAUUACUACAUCGAGCGGUGGAUCACCCAUUCCCAUUCGUACCAGUUGGAUCUUUCUGAUUCAAAGAUAUUACACUAACCAUCAAUCAACGUUUCAAUAGGUAACAUGCUCAAUCAAAUAGAGUAUCAAAAGAAACAAGAGGCUUUAAGAAAAAAAGUAUUUCAUUAUAGCAAAAGAAAAAAAUGUGCGCUUGAGAAUGUUACCAUGUACUUAUUCGAAGUGAUUUUCCCCUAAGCGCAUCGGUAAUGGCUUCAUUCUUCUUUGUCUCAGCUUCAGACAAAUCAUUCCAAGCCCUAAAUAAACUAUAUUUUUGACUUGUACCGCAAGCCAAGUUAGGUUUUACCAAAUGAUGACAGAAAGGAAUAAUGAAAAAUUUAAUUAAAGGCUAACCCCUCAUGUAUCCAAGUGUAGUCCCUCUGGCAUGCUUAGCUUUGAAAAGAUAAG